CUCAGGAAUAAAGCUGCUGUCUCCUCUACGGGAGGAUCCCUGCUGGAGACUGGACACCCUUAGAAUGGAUCCUCAUGGAGACCAGUGGAUGAAAACGGGUCUAAAGAAAUAUUUCUGUGGGCUGACAGUGGAUGUGAACACAGUCCACCGCAAUCUUAAACUGUCUGACAACAAUAGGAAGGUGGUGCACAUGAAAGAGGACCAGC